rnacentral:rRNA from 1 species
AGCGAACGCUGGCGGCAGGCUUAACACAUGCAAGUCGAGCGGAUGUAGCAAUACAUCAGCGGCAGACGGGAUAGUAACACGUGGGAACGCGCCCUUUGGUUCGGAAUAACUCAGGGAAACUUGAGCUAAUACCGGAUAAGCCCUUACGGGGAAAGAUUUAUCGCCAAAGGAACGGCCCGCGUCGGAUUAGCUAGUUGGUGAGGUAAUGGCUCACCAAGGCGACGAUCCGUAGCUGGUCUGAGAGGAUGACCAGCAUCACUGGGACUGAGACACGGCCCAGACUCCUACGGGUGGCAG